UACGAAGGGGGCUAGCGUUGCUCGGAAUUACUGGGCGUAAAGCGCACGUAGGCGGCUCUUUAAGUCAGGGGUGAAAUCCCGGGGCUCAACCCCGGAACUGCCUUUGAUACUGGGUAUCUCGAGUCCGGAAGAGGUGAGUGGAAUUCCGAGUGUAGAGGUGAAAUGCGUAGAGAUCCGGAGGAAUACCAGUGGCGAAGGCGGCUUGCUGGGUCUAAGCUGACACUCAGACGCGAAAGCAUGGGGAGCGAACGGG
rnacentral:rRNA from 1 species